AAGCUGAAAUUUUUUUUUAAUUUUUAAAAAUGAAAAGGUAUUUAUCAAAUGCAACUGAUUAAUCAGGCAUAAGAGUUGUAUUAUUUAGACAAAAUAUAAUUGAUAUGAGCAUGUUCAGAAAGUUCUAUUUCAUGUUGAUAAAGGAUCUGCCAAGUUCACAUCAAACCCUUAACCAUACAGUUUUAUGUAGGAAGCAAAAUGGAUAGAAAUAUGAGGAGAUCUGCAAAGCCACAUCACCAUGAGCGACAAUGACAUGGACAAAGUCCAUGGAUGAGCCUGGUGUGGUCGACGUGCAGAACCUGCAUGCAAGACACACAGAGAAGGUGGGCUAGGACACCUAGGAGUCAUCUAUUUGGGGUGCAGAUGCUGUUUUGACAAGGAAGUGAAACACUUAAUUUGUGGCAUAGCCUUUUGGGGAAAGGAAGACCCUGGGGAAACAAGGUAAAAGGCACAAUUAUUCACUUCUACUUCACAAAUUUCAUUGUUUUCAUAUUAUAUUUGGAUGUAGAAGGAUCUCUACAGCAAAGAAGGCAUCCACCCAGUUAAAACAUGGUGCUAUGAAUUAUGUGGAUGGGCAUAAAACAUGAAGUGGAAGAGAUAAGCAGUACUUUGCAGGUAGAGGUGAGAAGAGCAUGACACAAGGGACAUUGGUCCCCAGCCAAGCUCUACAGAAAUAGAGCUCUGCCUUCUGCAAAUGUGGUCCAGGAAGUUAUAGACAGCAGCGAGGACAAAUGGCCCCUGAGCAUCUCAAACUGAGACAGAGAUGUAUGAGUGGUGACCCGGUGACCUUGACCACAUCUGAGUCAUCCUGCACCCCCCAGUUCUCUCUCUCCCCUCUCCAUCUCUCCCUCCCUUCUCUCUUUUCCUUCCUUUCUUCUCUGUGUUUCUUCCAUUCCUUCUCUCUCUCUCUCUCUCUCCUUCUUCCUUCCUAUGGUACAGUUGGAGUCUCUGGACCAGUUUCAACCACAAGAGAAGAUCAACAUCCAGGUCAACAGUGACAGACUUCACAUAAAAACCCAACAGAUUUCACAGUGGGGUGGAGGCUCAGGGGGGGUCGUGGUUUGGAUGCCAGGAGGCUCAGGUGAGGACAUGCACGUGCAGCCCUGUGAAGACCAUUCUAUCAAGUCAGGCUCCCUGGAAGUGAUGGCCAGUGGGUUAUCUUGGCUAUUCCAUUCCUUCAUGGUCCUUUCCUCACUUUUUCACACAUACCUGUCCAUCAUUUCCUCCUCAGAGUAUGACCUGGGGGCUCUAGGGAAGCUGCGAAGGGCUCGUUGAGAUUUCGAGUUUGUGAGUUUAUUUUCUGUGCCCUGUCUCCUCUUGCUGAAUAUAUUUAGGAGUUGGCUGAGAAGUUGAUGUUCAUUUGAUUCAUGUUAAACUCCAUGGCCUGUGAGUCUUGUGUUUUAAUCUACGUGUCAUCUGUUACAAAUGGACUUUGUAUUGUGCAAUAAAUAUAACUCUGUAUGAAUUGAAUUUCUUUGUAAAGAUUCGUAUUUGAAAGAUUUAUCUAAUAUUUGUUAUUUUAGUUAGCAGAUAACAAAAGUCACCAAGAGGAGUUUAUGUUUGGCAUUUUUAUUCAUGGGCUUUUCCUAAAUAGGAAACACUGGCCUCUGGUUUUUCAGUAUGAAAGAGGAUGUUAGAAUUGUUUGUUGCGUGCGCGUGCGCGCGCGCGCGCGCGCGUGUGUGUGAGUGUGUGUGUGUGUGUGUAUUGGGGGUAGCCAUGGCUGUUCAUAU
rnacentral:lncRNA from 1 species